rnacentral:rRNA from 1 species
AUUGAACGCUGGCGGCAGGCCUAACACAUGCAAGUCGAACGAGUGGCGGACGGGUGCGUAAUGUCUGGGAAACUGGCUUAUGGAGGGGGAUAACUACGGGAAACGGUAGCUAAUACCGCGUACCAUACGAUGUUCCCAGUUGGGAUUAGGUAGUUGGUGGGGUAAAGGCUCACAAAGGCGACGAUCCCUAGCUGGUCUGAGAGGAUGACAAGCCACACUGGAACUGAGACACGGUCCAGACUCCUACGGGAGGCAGCAGUGUGGAAUAUUCCGCAAUGGGCGCAAGCCUGACUCAGCCAUGCCGCGUGAAUGAAGAAGGCCUUCGGGUUGUAAAGUUCUUUCGGUAGCGAAGCGUUACCUACAGAAGAAGCACCGGCUAACUCCGUGCCAGCAGCCGCGGUAAUUC